UUAACGGUGGUUUAAUGGUGUGUUUAGCGUAUCUAACUUGUUAAGCUUAGGGAUGCGCGUUCGAUUCCCGCCUGUUGAA